GCUCAAAAAGUGGAAGUAGAGCACAAGGCUCUUAACCUUGUGGUCGUGGGUUCGAGCCCCAC
rnacentral:tRNA from 1 species